UUCGCAAUGCCCGAAAGGGUGACGAAGCGACGCCGCGUGUGGGAAGAAGGCCUUCGGGUUGUAAACCACUGUCGGGAGUUAAGAAAUGCAAGGAUAUGAAUAGUGUCUUUGCUUGACUAAGGCUCCGGAGGAAGCCACGGCUAACUCUGUACCAGCAGCCGCGGUAAUACAGAGGCGGCAAGCGUUGUUCGGAAUUAUUGGGCGUAAAGAGCACGUAGGCGGCUAUGUAAGUCGGUUGUGAAAGCCUUCCGCUCAACGGGAGAACAGCAUCCGAUACUACAUGGCUUGAGUGCGGGAGGGGAGAGUGGAACUUCUGGUGGAGCGGUGAAAUGCGUAGAUAUCAGAAGGAACGCCGGCGGCGAAAGCGGCUCUCUGGCCCAUAACUGACGCUGAGUGUGCGAAAGCUAGGGGAGCAAACGGGAUUAGAUACCCCGGUAGUCCUAGCCGUAAACGAUGGGCACUAAGUAGAGGGGUUUUA
rnacentral:rRNA from 1 species